rnacentral:rRNA from 1 species
GGGCGUUAAGCGAGUGUAGGCGGUUGCCAAGUCCAGGUGUGAAAGCCUUGAGCUCAACUUCAAGAAAUGCACUUGGUACUGGGUGGCUAGAGGACCGGAGAGGAUAGUGGAAUUCCCAGUGUAGUGGUGAAAUACGUAGAGAUUGGGAAGAACACCAGUGGCGAAGGCGGCUAUCUGGACGGUUACUGACGCUAAGACUCGAAAGCGUGGGGAGCAAACAGGAUUAGAUACCCUGGUAGUCCACGCCGUAAACGAUGGGUGCUAGACGUUGGCGAGCUUGCUCGUCAGUGUCGCAGCUAACGCGUUAAGCACCCCGCCUGGGGAGUACGGCCGCAAGGUUGAAACUCAAAGGAAUUGACGGGGGCCCGCACAAGCGGUGGAGCAUGUGGUUCAAUUCGACGCAACGCGCAGAACUUUUACCCAGCCCCUUGACAUGGGACUCGCCCGGGAGCAGAGACGCUUCCCUUCGGUUUCGGCCCGGAGUCCCGCACAGGUGCUGCAUGGCUUGUCGUCAGCUUCGUGUCGUGAGAUGUUGGGGUUUAAGUCCCGCAACGAGCGCAACCCCUCGUCUCCCAGUUUGCCCAUCAGGUUAUGCUGGGGCACUUUUGGAGAAAACUGCCCGGUGACAAGCCGGGAGGAAGGGUGGGGGAUGACGUCAAGUCCUCAUGGCUCCUUUACGGGCUGGGCUACACACGUGCUACAAUGGCGGUGACAAUGGGGAAGCGAUGGCGCGAGCCGGAGCCGAUCCUAAAAACCCGUCUCAGUUCGGAUUGCACUCUGCAACUCGAGUGCAUGAAGUUGGAAUCGCUAGUAAUCGAGGAUCAGCAUGCCUCGGGUGAAUACGUUCUCCCGGGCUCUGUACACACCCGCCCGUC